UAGUCCACGCCGUAAACGAUGGACACUAGCUGUUGGGAUUAAUCUCAGCGGCUAAGCGAAAGUGAUAAGUGUCCCACCUGGGGAGUACGAUCGCAAGAUUGAAACUCAAAGGAAUUGACGGGGGCCCGCACAAGCGGUGGAGCAUGUGGUUUAAUUCGAUGAUACGCGAGGAACCUUACCAGGGCUUAAAUGUAAUAUGACAGGACUAGAGAUAGUUUUUUCUUCGGACAUAUUACAAGGUGCUGCAUGGUUGUCGUCAGUUCGUGCCGUGAGGUGUCAGGUUAAGUCCUAUAACGAGCGCAACCCCUGCCGUUAGUUGCCAGCAUUUAAAGAUGGGGACUCUAGCGGGACUGCCGGUGCAAACCGAGAGGGAAGGUGGGGAUGACGUCAAAUCAUCAUGGGCCUUUAUGCCUAGGGGCUACACACGUGCUACAAUGGGUGCAUACAGCGGGGUAGCGAAAUCGCGAGGGUGGGAGCUAA
rnacentral:rRNA from 1 species